ACGGCAGCACGGGUGCUUGCACCUGGUGGCGAGUGGCGAACGGGUGAGUAAUGUAUCGGAACGUAUCCGGAAGUGGGGGAUAGCCCGGCGAAAGCCGGAUUAAUACCGCAUAUGCCCUGAGGGGGAAAGUGGGGGACCGCAAGGCCUCAUGCUUUCGGAGUGGCCGAUAUCGGAUUAGCUAGUAGGUUAGGUAAAGGCUGACCUAGGCGACGAUCCGUAGCGGGUCUGAGAGGAUGAUCCGCCACACUGGGACUGAGACACGGCCCAGACUCCUACGGGAGGCAGCAGUGGGGAAUUUUGGACAAUGGGGGCAACCCUGAUCCAGCCAUGCCGCGUGAGUGAAGAAGGCCUUCGGGUUGUAAAGCUCUUUCGGACGGAAAGAAAUUGCCAUCUCUAACAUAGGUGGUGGAUGACGGUACCGUAAGAAGAAGCACCGGCUAACUACGUGCCAGCAGCCGCGGUAAUACGUAGGGUGCGAGCGUUAAUCGGAAUUACUGGGCGUAAAGCGUGCGCAGGCGGUUUUGUAAGACAGGCGUGAAAUCCCCGGGCUUGACCUGGGAACUGCGCUUGUGACUGCAAGGCUAGAGUGCGGCAGAGGGGGGUAGAAUUCCACGUGUAGCAGUGAAAUGCGUAGAGAUGUGGAGGGAUACCGAUGGCGACGCAGCCCCCUGGGUCGACACUGACGCUCAUGCACGAAAGCGUGGGGAGCAAAC
rnacentral:rRNA from 1 species